CCUACGGGUGGCAGCAGUGGGGAAUAUUGCACAAUGGGGGAAACCCUGAUGCAGCGACGCCGCGUGAGUGAAGAAGUAUUUCGGUAUGUAAAGCUCUAUCAGCAGGGAAGAAACUCACCCUCCGGGGUGGCUGACGGUACCUGACUAAGAAGCCCCGGCUAACUACGUGCCAGCAGCCGCGGUAAUACGUAGGGGGCAAGCGUUAUCCGGAUUUACUUGGUGUAAAGGGAGCGUAGGUGGCAAGGCAAGUCAGAUGUGAAAACCCGGGGCCCAACCCCGGGAGUGCAUUUGAAACUGUCUGGCUAGAGUGCAGGAGAGGUAAGUGGAAUUCGUAGUGUAGCGGUGAAAUGCAGAGAUAUUAGGAGGAACACCAGUGGCGAAGGCGGCUUACUGGACUGUAACUGACACUGAGGCUCGAAAGCGUGGGGAGCAAACAGGAUUAGAUACCCGAGUAGUC
rnacentral:rRNA from 1 species